rnacentral:rRNA from 1 species
AAAGCGUGCGCAGGCGGUUAUGCAAGACAGAGGUGAAAUCCCCGGGCUCAACCUGGGAACUGCCUUUGUGACUGCAUAGCUAGAGUACGGUAGAGGGGGAUGGAAUUCCGCGUGUAGCAGUGAAAUGCGUAGAUAUGCGGAGGAACACCGAUGGCGAAGGCAAUCCCCUGGACCUGUACUGACGCUCAUGCACGAAAGCGUGGGGAGCAAACAGGAUUAGAUACCCUGGU